AAGUCGUAACAAGGUUUCCGUAGGUGAACCUGCGGAAGGAUCAUUAAAUUCAGUAGCUUGCUACUGUUAGGGGGGUCUAUUAGUCUGUAUAGUAUCACUACUGAUGAGCAGCACGACCCUCUGUCUAUACCCUUGUCUUUUGCGCACUCAUGUUUCCUCGGCGGCUUAAUACCCGCCGGCUGGAUCAAUCUAUAACCUUUUUAAUUUUCAAUCAGCGUCUGAAAAACCUAAUAAUUACAACUUUCAACAACGGAUCUCUUGGUUCUG
rnacentral:misc_RNA from 1 species